ACAAAAAGACCUCAAUGCAACUAGAGAGAAACUAGUUUCCCUGCCUGCAGUGAAAUGGGGACUGCGAUCUCUUGGUCUAAACGGACGUGUAUCUGAAAAAGCCAUUGCUAUGUGCCAUUUACAAAAAAAGAAAUCCCCAGUGGGCCACGCACCAUCAACACACCUAAGAAAGAUUGGGAAAUGGCAGAUGCACUUCCUUUUUGACCAGCUGAUCGGAGCUGCUGAUUCACUGUAUUCAGUGGAAUUCAACUAGCACUCCACCCCCCUCCCACCACUCCAGCUCCCACUGUGCAAAACGAAUGGAUAUGGACUUCCUAUAAUUUACUUAAUUGUCAUUAAAGCCAAAGGAGGCUAUUUUGAGGAAAGUUGUCUUACAUUAUUUUUAAGUAAAAUUGUAAGUAGAAAUUGGAGAAAAAAAGUUUGCACUUUGGGUUGUUUUUCAAUAAAUGUGCAUAAAUUGUCUGAAUUCUUCUCUACCUAAAUUUUUUUUUAACCACAGGCAGCCUAAUACUUAUUGUCUGUAUUGUAUCAAUUUCAAUCUCCUCACAAUAUUCAUAAAUCCCCCACAUGGUA